UACGAAGGGGGCUAGCGUUGUUCGGAAUUACUGGGCGUAAAGCGCGCGCAGGCGGUUCUUCAAGUCAGAGGUGAAAGCCCAGAGCUCAACUCUGGAAUGGCCUUUGAGACUAGAGAACUAGGGUACGGGAGAGGUGAGUGGAAUUCCGAGUGUAGUGGUGAAAUACGUAGAGAUUGGGAAGAACACCAGUGGCGAAGGCGGCUAUCUGGACGGUUACUGACGCUAAGACGCGAAAGCGUGGGGAGCAAACAGG
rnacentral:rRNA from 1 species